AUGGAGGAAGAAGACCCACCGAAGCGACCGCCACCAGUUCACGGCGGCGCCGCCUCAAAGAUUAGUCAUAGAAUCACAAAGAAGAAUGUGGAUUCGUGUUUGUCAGUGGAAGAGAAACCUUCUGAUAUAAAAAGGGUGGAGGACGGCGGCAAUCAGAGGGUGCAGACGGUGGCUCUCCAGCGAAGGCAGAGGGUUUCCGGCGAGUUUGGGUCGCUUCUUUGA